rnacentral:misc_RNA from 1 species
CAGCCUGGAUCCCAUAAG